AUGCAGUGCAUUUAUAAUGUUCUUGUAGAGGUAUUUAGAAAUUGAAGACUAAUUGUGCUGACUACCAUCUGUGUACAAACCAAUCUGUUAAUUUCUCUCUCAGUAUGAACUUAGGCUUGGUUUAGGCAAUUUUUUAUCUUCCCAAUAAUAAUGUAGAUGCUGUAUGGCAAUACGCAACUCAUUAAUUGUGCAUAAUUAGGGUUAUGAUAAAAAGGUCAUAUACCUUGCAUCAUAACCAUUGAGUGUUCAAUAGUUGUUGAAAUGAGUUGAUGUAUGUUAUGAAUAAUGAUUGUGUCAAUAUUAAUAUAAUAUGUUAGUGUACAAAAUAUUUUUGUUGUUAUUACAUAUAUUGAUACUACAUUUGCUUCCGUUAUUCGAUUUUGUAAUUUGAUAUUUUUAAGUUUAUCAGUUGAAAGGAAUGUGGGUAGAUAACAAAAGGGAAAGUAAGACAGUUCCUUCUUAAAAUAUUGUGCAACUAAAAUUGUUGACCUUAAUCGAUUACGCUUGUUUAUUAUGAAUACGAGCAAUGCAAAAUCCGGCAUUUAUAGGUUAAAUAUUAAAAAAAAGGGUACAUUAUUGUUCCGAUUUCAAAUUUUGCCAUAUUUUUACUUUUAUGAAAAAUCUGUAAAUAUUUCCUUCUACUUGAUUUAUGUUAUUGUUGAUGACAUAUUAGGUUAUUUUUCAAUAGGAAAAGGAAGUAAAUGUAAUAAAAAUUGUGGAAAAUGCGUCCGUAUUGCUAAAGCUAACGCAAGGAACCUGAACUUUUGUACUUUGUGGUAUAGAAAUGUGUAUACUCAUUAUCAAUGCUUUUCAAAAUUUCAGAUAUUAUAAUGUUUAUUCAUGAAACAUUUUCACUUCAACAUACUGUGGUUUCAUUAUCAUCGCUGUUCACCAAUAUUGUUGUUGAUAUGAAAAUCAAUAAGAACAGAAAUUUUUUUUUACUACAUGUCUUUAGUUACCAUUAAAUGAAUCCACAGUAUUUGAUAUACAUGUAUAGCAUGCAUUUUUAUUCUUUUACAACAUAAUCUAAUAUGCUUAUAAUAAUUGCAUUCAUUUUUUACGACAUUCAUUGUCAUCAUGUAUAUUAACUACAGUAUUAAAAUCUUGCUCAAUCUC
rnacentral:misc_RNA from 1 species